GGGGAAACCCACGACCAGUGCAACAGAGAGCAAACCGCCGAUGGCCCACGCAAGUGGGAUCAGGUAAGGGUGAAAGGGUGCGGUAAGAGCGCACCGCGCGGCUGGUAACAGUCCGUGGCACGGUAAACUCCACCCGGAGCAAGGCCAAAUAGGGGUUCAUAAGGUACGGCCCGUACUGAACCCGGGUAGGCUGCUUGAGCCAGUGAGCGAUUGCUGGCCUAGAUGAAUGACUGUCCACGACAGAACCCGGCUUAUCGGUCAGUUUCACCU
rnacentral:RNase_P_RNA from 2 species